GUCUUUUUGAUUAUAAUUUAAAGUCUAACCUGCCCACUGAAUUUUUUGAAGGGCCGCGGUAUUUUGACUGUGCAAAGGUAGCAUAAUCAUUAGUCUUUUAAUUGGAGGCUUGUAUGAAUGGUUGGAUGAGGUAUUAACUGUCUCAAUUUAAUAAGUAAUAGAAUUUUAUUUUUAAGUUAAAAAGCUUAAAUUUAAUUAAAAGACGAGAAGACCCUAUAGAUCUUUAUAAUUUAUUUUAUAAUAAUUUUUUAGAUAAAAUUUAUUUUUAUACAAUUAAUUAUUUUAUUGGGGUGAUAAAAAAAUUUAUAAAACUUUUUUUGUAUAUAAACAGUGAUAUUUGAUUAAUUGAUCCAUUUUUUGUGAUUAUAAGAUUAAGUUACCUUAGGGAUAACAGCGUAAUUUUUUUGGAGAGUUCUUAUCGAUAAAAAAGAUUGCGACCUCGAUGUUGAAUUAAAGGUUAAUUUUAGGUGUAGAAGUUUAAAAUUUUGGUCUGUUCGACCAUUGAAUC
rnacentral:rRNA from 1 species